AACGAACGCUGGCGGCAGGCUUAACACAUGCAAGUCGAACGCGUGUAGCAAUACACGAGUGGCGCACGGGUGAGUAACGCGUGGAUAUCUGCCUUUUGGUUCGGAAUAACCCCGGGAAACUGGGGCUAAUACCGGAUGGUUCCUUCGGGAUAAAGAUUUAUCGCCAAAAGAUGAGUCCGCGUACGAUUAGCUAGUUGGUGAGGUAAUGGCUCACCAAGGCGACGAUCGUUAGCUGGUCUGAGAGGACGAUCAGCCACACUGGGACUGAGACACGGCCCAGACUCCUACGGGAGGCAGCAGUGGGGAAUAUUGGACAAUGGGGGCAACCCUGAUCCAGCCAUGCCGCGUGAGUGAUGAAGGCCUUCGGGUUGUAAAGCUCUUUUGGCGGGGACGAUGAUGACG
rnacentral:rRNA from 1 species